CACUCCUACGGGAGGCAGCAGUAGGGAAUCUUCGGCAAUGGGGGCAACCCUGACCGAGCAACGCCGCGUGAGUGAAGAAGGUUUUCGGAUCGUAAAGCUCUGUUGUAAGUCAAGAACGAGUGGGAGAGUGGAAAGUUCACACUGUGACGGUAGCUUACCAGAAAGGGACGGCUAACUACGUGCCAGCAGCCGCGGUAAUACGUAGGUCCCGAGCGUUGUCCGGAUUUAUUGGGCGUAAAGCGAGCGCAGGCGGUUUGAUAAGUCUGAAGUUAAAGGCUGUGGCUCAACCAUAGUUCGCUUUGGAAACUGUCAAACUUGAGUGCAGAAGGGGAGAGUGGAAUUCCAUGUGUAGCGGUGAAAUGCGUAGAUAUAUGGAGGAACACCGGUGGCGAAAGCGGCUCUCUGGUCUGUAACUGACGCUGAGGCUCGAAAGCGUGGGGAGCGAACAGGAUUAGAUACCCGAGUAGUCCC
rnacentral:rRNA from 1 species